GAUUGUACACCAAUCACUCAAAAUGGUCCUUGCUAUAACCCUAACACUAUCAAAGAUCACUGCAAUUAUGCUGUAAAUAGUUAUUAUCAAAGAAAAGGUGCAGCUGGUGCUACCUGUGAUUUUACUGGAACUGCAACUACAAGCCCCAAUCCACCUACUACUACAAAUUCUGGGUGUGUCUAUCAAUCCAGUCCAAGCAACACUGGUGGAGGUACAACAACUCCGUCAACAGCACCACCGGGAACCACAACUCCAACAAUCGCA
rnacentral:misc_RNA from 1 species